UCAAAUUUCAUUCAUAUAACGGGGUAUUAAACAAUAAAACGCUAUAAUUUAGACAAAUAAAAUCCAGCCUCAUGUCUAUCUCUCUAAAGUCUAAAUCAUGGCUCUCUUUCUAGUCAGACAACAAUCAAUCCUUUCCUUUCUUCAGGGUAAAGAUUAGGGUCCUUCUCUCUCUUCGCUUACAAAGAAGAUGGUUGCCAAUGGAGAAUCAAGGGAAACAAAUGAUCUCUCUUGAGAAAUUGGGUGUGUUCAAAUGAACAAACCCUAAAUAGCUAUGCGUUGCAGGCAGACCAUAUCAUCCAACUAGUUCGCUGUACGCCACUUGAUUCAGUGAUUAAUAUCACAAGUUCACAACUUCUUCUAUUCCUUUAAUAACACAUCAAGCUCAGUUCAAGAACCCUAUGAUCAUUAGGAGGCGUUGUGCUUGAUUGUUCGCUCUUCCCUUGCCUUGGCAUCAUUGGACUCUGUGAAAUACUGGUUUAUCACUUAGAGCAACAAUUCACACAAAACUCGACAUGACGAGGGAGGCAAUCAAUACAGCAGUCAUGCAAAUCCUCAUGAACAACCCUAAGCUAAGGAUAACUUGAUUAUAAUCUCUCUCUCUUAUAUCUAAUUGCCAUGAGAAAGGAGAAGUUCUAGAGUGAAUAAAAAAGGAAGGAUAAUAUCCGAAAUGUAAAAUAUAUACAUGGCUUAUUAGGCAUUUUCUUACGAAAAAGAGAUGAUUAGAGUUUGCAAAAGAGAGUGGCAUGGGUUUACAGGAGAGAGAUGAUUUGGGAUGAAAACUAUUGUUGGCAAAUAAUUAUUUAGUUUGAAGAUUUUUUUCAAAAAAAAUGAGUGAAAAUGGGGGUAAAUGAAGAUUGCUUCAACCACAAAUUUAGACAUCAAUUAUUGAAAAUCAUUGGAGAUAUCCC
rnacentral:lncRNA from 1 species